rnacentral:rRNA from 1 species
GACGAACGCUGGCGGCGUGCUUAACACAUGCAAGUCGAACGGUAAGGCCCUUCGGGGUACACGAGCGGCGAACGGGUGAGUAACACGUGGGUAAUCUGCCCUCGGUUUCGGGAUAGCCCGGGGCAACCCGGAUUAAUACCGAAUGGCCCUUCAGCUCUUCGGAGCGGGAGGGAAAGGUAGCUUCGGCCUCCGACCGAGGAUGAGCCCGCGGCGGAUUAGCUUGUUGGUGGGGUAACGGCCUACCAAGGCGGCGAUCCGUAGCUGGUCUAGGAGGACGAUCAGCCCCACUGGGACUGAGAAACGGCCCAGACUCCUACGGGAGGCAGCAGUGGGGAAUCUUGCGCAAUGGGCGAAAGCCUGACGCAGCGACGCCGCGUGCGGGAAGAAGGCCUUCGGGUUGUAACCCGCUUUCAGGAGGGACGAAGCCACUCGGGUGAAUAGCCCAGAGGGUGACGGUACUUCCAGAAGAAGUCCCGGCUAACUACGUGCCAGCCGCCGCAGUAA